UAUCCCAUGCCUAGACCAUGCUCAAAGGAUAUCUGCUGGCAGUCCCAGGGAGGGACAUUUUGUGACUAGGGUCUGCUCCAGAAGACCUGUUUAAGAGAGGCUUAUGGGCUACAAUCUGUUGAGACUUCUCUUACAGUCAAUUUUUCAUGGCAUGCCCACCAUUUCACUUGGAUUAUGGCAAUAUCUGGGGUUGGUGAGGCCAUUUGCCUUGCAUGACCCUUGUUCAGCCAUCACUUUGUGGAUCAUUGAUAACAAACCACUAUGUCACUGUCUGAGGACCCUGGAAAAAGACAAGUAGGUGAAGGCAGCUGCCCGGGUUUCUGGAACAAACAUAGAUGGGUGAACGGAAUCGAAGAGUAACCAAUUUGUCCAAUGGCACACCGCCAAAGAGGGGAGAUUAGGACACAGACACACAUAGAGGGAAGACCACAUGAGGAGGACACUUGUGUCUAGAAGGAGGAGAAGAGUCGGUCAUGUUUUGCUAGUGGAAAGCCCUCCACAGGAAGCAGCUAUCAGCAAUGGGAAAGAGGUCCAUCUCCUGACCAGGGAUAACAACAAUACCUGCAUCUUCUAGCAUUGUUGGGAGUUGCACAUGGGAGAUAUGUAUCCAGUCUACAGAAAGUUCUCUAUCAGCCUAAAAAUUCCUUGAGGGCUUCCCACUUGACUCUCAGGCCUUAGACCUGCUUUGAAUACAACUGCAGGGACAUUGGACUUUACCAAGUAGAAAAAGAAGACAUUUCUCUUGCUGGGCUGGGACACAUUUAGGGAAGGACCCUGGGCCAUGCAGAGAGUUUCAUUUCAGGAUCAUGUUACAAUAAAUUCGCCAGGUGGCCAAUUGGAUGUGACACAUCGGGUGGAAAUUCCAUGGAUGUUCUAUGGGUGUUUCAGGGUGCACUGUACCCACCCAGUAGCAGGAGACUCACUCACCAUACGUGGCAGACCAGAUGAGCCAGAGGAGUAUGUCUAUGCCUCUGCCACCGCCAGCCUUCACCAGUGACUGAGGGAAAUAGAUGUCUGAGCAUCCCCAGAUCCCUUGCCCUCUGUGUAGUAAUAUAUUUCACUCACUUCCCAGGGGGAUGAAGUUUCAGUCAUCCACAGCAGUACCUGGCUUGAUAACGCACCCUAUAUUAUUUGUGUCCUCUUCUCUUUCCCACUUCACUCCCCUGCUGUUCUUCACAUCCCAAAAAAAACUAUUUGUACUCAAGCCCUUGCUUCAGGAUAUGCUCUUGGAGAAACACAAAGACUGAAGUUGGGAAUUGCUGCUAGUGAAGAUGUGAACCUGCGAGUCGGAGGUUAGGUAAUGCUCAAGGACCAGAAAAGUAACCUCAGUGUUUCAUUCAGCUCAGGGCUCCUAUGUUUGCCUCAGGGAGCUAAGAUGUGAUUGCCCAGAAUUCCAAAGGAGACUCUUUCAAGUGAAGGGAUUGAAAAAUUCUGUACUGCCUUGGAGCCAUUGAGAAGAUGCCAGAGAAUCUCAACAGUGGAAGUCAAGACAACUUCAGCUUCAACUCUGACGCUCUUCACUUUACCCUUUAUAUCACCUGCAGUGACAUUUCUUCUCUCCUUGUUGUGCUGGUGAUUCUGGUUUUCCCUGUCUGAAGAAUAUUUGUUUCCUUCUUAGCCAUGUAAAAUCCUCUUUUAAAACUCAGCAACUUGGUCCUUCCAGAGCAGUGCAUGCUUUCUGAGCAAUAGCACCUCCAUAGUGUACUGACCGAUAAUGUUGUACCCCUACUCUCUCCAAAUGUUCCUGCCCCCAGCCUGUGAAAUUCAGGAGGGCAGGAGCUGUGUUCAUCCCCAAAUCCUUGCCAUCAUCACAGGCAUUUAGUAUACCUCACUAAAUAUUCAAAGUGAAAGAGAGAAGAAGGAGGUGCAGCAGAAGAGUUAAAGUAUCCUAGCAGCCUGCAAAAGUACCAGCAAGUAAGUACCACUAGAAGAAGAAGGAAUUGCGCACUUACCCUUGUAAUGAGCUUGGCAACAUGAUAGAAGAGAAAACCUUUUUUGCUCAUAUUGUUGGUGGCAUAUGCAUUGGGAAUCAUGGGGAAGUUUUAG